CCUUUGCACUUCGUCCCCAGCUCGGUCUACGCGGAAGAUGGGGACAGGGAGCUGAAGGCAGCCAUUACCUACGCCAUCCUUGCAGGGACAGACCACGGCAGGUUCCACAUAGACAAUGUGACGGGCGCCAUCACCAUGCUGCGGCCCGCGGAGAGCCGGAGCCACACACCCGCGUUCAGCCUCAGCGUCAUGGCCGCGCAGAUGAACGACGCCAACAAGUACGUGGUGACGGAGGUGCGGGUGAGGGUCCUGGCCGCCAAUGUGCACCCGCCUC